rnacentral:rRNA from 1 species
AUUGAACGCUGGCGGCAGGCUUAACACAUGCAAGUCGAGCUAGCGGCGGACGGGUGAGUAAUAUCUGGUAAACUGCCUGAUGGAGGGGGAUAACUACUGGACACGUUAGCUAAUACCGCAUCCCAUCAUGUGUACCCAGAUGGGAUUAGCUAGUAGGUGGGGUAAUGGCUCACCUAUGCGACGAUCCCUAGCUGGUCUGAGAGGAUGACCAGCCACACUGGAACUGAGACACGGUCCAGACUCCUACGGGAGGCAGCAGUGGGGAAUAUUGCACAAUGGGCGCAAGCCUGAGGCAGCCAUGCCGCGUGUGUGAAGAAGGCCUUAGGGUUGUAAAGUACUUUCAGCGAGGAGGCGUUACUCGCAGAAGAAGCACCGGCUAACUCCGUGCCAGCAGCCGCGGUAAUUC